rnacentral:tRNA from 1 species
GGUAAGAUGGCCGAGAAAGGCAACGGAUUGUAGCUCCGUCCAUGGGCACAACACCCUCUUAUCA